GGAGAGGUGGCCGAGUGGUCGAAGGCGCGCCCCUGCUAAGGGCGUAUACGGGUGACCGUAUCGAGGGUUCGAAUCCCUUCCUCUCCGCCA
rnacentral:tRNA from 1 species